rnacentral:rRNA from 1 species
UGUGUAGGCGGUAUAUCAAGUCUGUUGUUAAAUCUCCCAGCCUAACUGGGAAAGUGCGGUGGAAACUGGUGUACUAGAAGAUGGAAGAGAGAAGUGGAAUUCUCGGAGUAGCGGUAAAAUGCGUAGAUCUCGAGAGGAACACCAAUGGCGAAGGCAGCUUCUUGGUCCAAUCUUGACGCUGAGACACGAAAGCGUGGGUAGCAAACA